rnacentral:rRNA from 1 species
UACGUAGGGUGCGAGCGUUGCCCGGAUUUAUUGGGCGUAAAGGGCGCGUAGGCGGUCACGCACGUCCGUUGUGAAAUCGCUCGGCUCAACUGGGCGGGGUCAGCGGAUACGGUGUGACUGGAGCAAGCUAGGGGGCAAUGGAAUUCCCGGUGUAGUGGUGGAAUGCGUAGAUAUCGGGAGGAACACCAGUGGCGAAGGCGGUUGCCUGGAGCUUUGCUGACGCUGAUGCGCGAAAGCGUGGGGAGCGAACAGG